CUACGCACUCCUACGGGAGGCAGCAGUGGGGAAUAUUGCACAAUGGGCGCAAGCCUGAUGCAGCCAUGCCGCGUGUAUGAAGAAGGCCUUCGGGUUGUUAAAGUACUUUCAGCAGUGAGGAAGGUGGGUAUGUUAAUAGCAUACUCAUUUGACGUUAGCUGCAGAAGAAGCACCGGCUAACUCCGUGCCAGCAGCCGCGGUAAUACGGAGGGUGCGAGCGUUAAUCGGAAUUACUGGGCGUAAAGCGCAUGCAGGUGGUUUGUUAAGUCAGAUGUGAAAGCCCGGGGCUCAACCUCGGAAUUGCAUUUGAAACUGGCAAACUAGAGUACUGUAGAGGGGGUAGAAUUUCAGGUGUAGCGGUGAAAUGCGUAGAGAUCUGAAGGAAUACCGGUGGCGAAGGCGGCCCCCCUGGACAGAUACUGACACUCAGAUGCGAAAGCGUGGGGAGCAAACAGGAUUAGAUACCCUGGUAG
rnacentral:rRNA from 1 species